GCCUACGGCCCAUACCACCCUGGCAACGCCCGAUCUCGUGCUGAUCUCGGAAGCUAAGCAGGGAUCGGGCCCGGUUAGUACUUGGAAUGGGAUACUCCUGGGAAUACCGGGUGCUGUAGGCU
rnacentral:rRNA from 1 species